CUCACUGCUUUGCCCGUUGUGCUCUGUACCCGCCUGGCUCCAAUCGUUGAUUGGCGGGCGCGUCUGACGUGACAAAAGUAGGGGUGCCACCGACCCCAGCCCAGGGACCCGGCAGCCACCCGGAGAACCUCAAGCCUUCCGCUCCCAGCCUUUGUGGAGUAAGGUGAUCCGAGCUGUGGAUAUCACGAGUAAGAUUCGCGUCCUGAAACGUCAGAGCAUGGCUGGUGAGACUGUGUGGCGCGCGCUUUAUGCGGAAUUUGAAUGACUUGUGGCGGGCCGCGGGCACUGCCAAAAGGAUGCCAACAGCCUGACGCUAGGGGCUCAGGGGAGCCCAGGCCCGGAUACUACUUCCUCUUGUCCAUUGUCCGUUAGGAUUUUCUUUCAUGGAAAUGAAGGCACCUCCGUGAGCAUAAUGUCAAAGGUGUAUUUAAAUGUUGUCCGUCCCCCGUUUUCGGCGAGACGUAGCUGUACUCUUCACUAUAAUUCUAAAUAAAACUUCCCUCCUUGCAUGGUG
rnacentral:lncRNA from 1 species